rnacentral:lncRNA from 1 species
GUUGGUGUAUUCAACGUUAUCCGGGCAACAAAAUCUUAUUCUCCUUAACCUCCCCAUCAGACAUCAGAAUCCGUUCGGAUUUGGGGUCAGGCCCCUCCUCCGGGAUCGGUCACUCUCAAUCUUUCGAUUUGAGUACCUCGAGAUGUCCUCAUCAGGGAACUCAAACUUCAUCGGUUGAUAACCUCACGGGUUGCAGAGAGAUGUAAUCAGACAAUACACCCCUUGAUUGCUUUCUGAGCGGAUCACAAAUCAGUCAACAUUCUU